CGAACGGGUGAGUAACGCGCGAGGAACCUGCCUCAAAGAGGGGGACAACAGUUGGAAACGACUGCUAAUACCGCAUAAGCCCACGGGUCGGCAUCGACCAGAGGGAAAAGGAGCAAUCCGCUUUGAGAUGGCCUCGCGUCCGAUUAGCUAGUUGGUGAGGUAAUGGCCCACCAAGGCAACGAUCGGUAGCCGGACUGAGAGGUUGAACGGCCACAUUGGGACUGAGACACGGCCCAG
rnacentral:rRNA from 1 species